rnacentral:rRNA from 1 species
GAGUAGUAGGAGUUAAUAUCUUGAAACUCAAAAAAUUUGGCGGUAUUUUAUCUUAUUAGAGGAACCUGUUUAUUAAUUGAUAUUCCACAACUUAAAUCUACUUUUACUAUAUUAUUUGUAUACCGCUGUCAUGAAUCUAUUUAGAAAUUAUUUUCGAGAUUUUUUAUGUAAGUUAUGUUAGGUCAAGGUGCAGUAUGUAAAGUACAAAAUGGGUUACAUUAUUUAUUAUGAAUGGAUUGGAUUAGUAAAAUGAAACAAAAAUAGGAUUUAUAAGUAAAAUAAUUGUUAAAGAUUUUAUAUGAAUAGAGAUUCUAAAAUAUG